rnacentral:rRNA from 1 species
AUUGAACGCUGGCGGCAUGCCUUACACAUGCAAGUCGAACGGCAGCACGGGUGCUUGCACCUGGUGGCGAGUGGCGAACGGGUGAGUAAUACAUCGGAACAUGUCCUGUAGUGGGGGAUAGCCCGGCGAAAGCCGGAUUAAUACCGCAUACGAUCUACGGAUGAAAGCGGGGGACCUUCGGGCCUCGCGCUAUAGGGUUGGCCGAUGACUGAUUAGCUAGUUGGUGGGGUAAAGGCCUACCAAGGCGACGAUCAGUAGCUGGUCUGAGAGGACGACCAGCCACACUGGAACUGAGACACGGCCCAGACUCCUACGGGAGGCAGCAGUGGGGAAUUUUGGACAAUGGGCGAAAGCCUGAUCCAGCAAUGCCGCGUGUGUGAAGAAGGCCUUCGGGUUGUAAAGCACUUUUGUCCGGAAAGAAAUCCUUGGCCCUAAUACGGUCGGGGGAUGACGGUACCGGAAGAAUAAGCACCGGCUAACUACGU